rnacentral:rRNA from 1 species
UACAGAGGGUGCAAGCGUUAAUCGGAAUUACUGGGCGUAAAGCGUGCGUAGACGGUUACGUAAGUCGGGUGUGAAAGCCCCGGGCUCAGCCUGGGAAUUGCAUUCGAGACUGCAUAGCUAGGGUGCGGAAGAGGGAAGCGGAAUUUCCGGUGUAGCGGUGAAAUGCGUAGAUAUCGGAAGGAACACCAGUGGCGAAAGCGGCUUCCUGGUCCAGCACCGACGUUCAGGCACGAAAGCGUGGGGAGCAAACAGG